GGUAAACGGCGGCCGUAACUAUAACGGUCCUAAGGUAGCGAAAUUCCUUGUCGGGCAAGUUCCGACCUGCACGAAUGGCAUAACGAUGGCCACACUGUCUCCUCCUGAGACUCAGUGAAGUUGAAGUGUUUGUGAUGAUGCAAUCUCCCCGCGGCUAGACGGAAAGACCCCAUGAACCUUUACUGUAGCUUUGCAUUGGACUUUGAACCGAUCUGUGUAGGAUAGGCGGGAGCCUGUGAAACCACAACGCCAGUUGUGGCGGAGGCGUCCUUGAAAUACCGCCCUGAUUUGUUUGAGGUUCUAACCUGGGACAGUCAUCCUGUCCGGGGACCGUGCAUGGUAGGCAGUUUGACUGGGGCGGUCUCCUCCUAAAGGGUAACGGAGGAGUGCGAAGGUACGCUAGGUACGGUCGGAAAUCGUGCUGAUAGUGCAAUGGCAAAAGCGUGCUUGACUGCGAGACCCACAAGUCGAGCAGAUACGAAAGUAGGUCAUAGUGAUCCGGUGGCUCUGUAUGGAAGGGCCAUCGCUCAACGGAUAAAAGGUACUCUGGGGAUAACAGGCUGAUACCGCCCAAGAGUUCAUAUCGACGGCGGUGUUUGGCACCUCGAUGUCGGCUCAUCUCAUCCUGGGGCUGUAGUCGGUCCCAAGGGUAUGGCUGUUCGCCAUUUAAAGAGGUACGUGAGCUGGGUUUAAAACGUCGUGAGACAGUUUUGUCCCUAUCUGCCGUGGGCGUUGGAAGAUUGACGGGGGCUGCUCCUAGUACGAGAGGACCGGAGUGGACUCACCUCUGGUGUACCGGUUGUCACGCCAGUGGCAUCGCCGGGUAGCUAUGUGGGGAAGAGAUAACCGCUGAAAGCAUCUAAGCGGGAAACUUGCCUGAAGAUAAGUCUUCCUGGAGGCUAGGCCUCCCUAAAGAGUCGUUCGAGACCAGGACGUUGAUAGGAUGGGUGUGUAAGUGCUGUGAGGCACUCAGCUAACCAUUACUAAUUGCUCGUGAAGCUUGAUCCU
rnacentral:rRNA from 1 species